rnacentral:tRNA from 1 species
GGGCCCGUAGCUCAGCGGUCAGAGCAGUCGGCUCAUAACCGAUCGGUCCCGGGUUCGAAUCCUGGCGGGCCCACCA